CGAGGGGCAAGGAUAGAAGCAGAGACAUCAAUGGAGAAGAGGCUAUAGAAAGAUUCUGAGCAAGAAAUGACAAUGGGUUGGUAAUGGUAGUGCAGGUGAUAAGAAGAAGUCACGUUCCAGAUGUACUUUUUCAGCCUGCAGACAGAUCAUCAGAAAAUUCAACUUUCAAGUGAGGAUCAUAAGCCAGAGAGUGCAGGACUCCACACCAGGGCAGAUGACCUGUGGAUUCCAGAAGCUCUCAGGAAUUUUGCAGAUUUCUCAAGGGCAACCCUGUCCAUAGAACGGGGAAAAGAACAAGCCCAUGCCUCCAAAGAGAAACUUCACAGUUCGCCUAAGUUUAACCUCUAGUGAUUCAUUCUCUUGUGUGUGGGGGCCUUCUGAUCUCUGGGAGCUCCCUCAAAGGCAAACUCCCAUGCAGAGGGCAUUUCUGAGGACUGAAAUCCAGGUGAUAAUAGUAACUACUGCUUUUUUAGCAUUUAGUGCUAACUUUGGCAUUUGGGCAACCAUCAAACACUCUCUUCCAUCAUCUCGCCCCUCCACCCACAGCCCUGUGUUAUCAAUCCCCUUUCCCAGCCAACCUGGGGACAAGUUGACUUGUCAUCACCAUCUGUACCUCCCCACUUUACACUCUCUCCACAGUCCACUCCACUAGGGCAUUGGCUGCACAUGUCACCAAAACCACUCUUGUCAGUGUCACCAAAAACUCCCAUGUUGCAAGAUACAAAGGCCAUUUUUCGGUCUCUUGUACUGAGCCUCUCCUAGAAGCAUAAGGUCCCUGGGCUUCCUUGGCACCUCCUCCGCCAGCAUCUUCU
rnacentral:lncRNA from 1 species